CAUGUUUUCCAGUCCUUUGCCUUUGCUUGUCUGAAGCUAUGUACACAUGUUUAAUCUUUAUUUCUCAUUAUUUACAUUCCAUCUUUAAAUCUCAACCUCUUGAGAUCUGUAAGAACUCGAUACUCAUUCCAUUUGUUCAACUCCUAAUUCUAUGCUGUUCCCAACUGUGACAGACCUGCCUUCCAGGUUCCUGAGUUGUUGGUACACCCUGAACAGAAGUAGGGAGAACACCUGGAAGUUGAGACAUGUUUGGAUACUACAAGGGCUUUGUGUGCCCUGUCCAUGCCUUCUGUGCACCUAAUGUCAGUCCAGAGCUGGAUAGCUCAAGGCUCAUGGUCAGUAUCUAGGGACCCCUCUGGUGUCUCUCUGCUAUUCUGCCUCCAGACUUUCCCCAAGGCCAAGGAUGGCUACUUCGCCCAGCACAGCCUGAAAGUUGACAGUCAAAGCUUCCAAGAGCAAUCUUCAUUUACUGGGGCAUAGGAGUCAAUGGAUAAGUGUCCAACUUCCCGCCCGCCCCCUCCAUCUUUCAGAGCGACAGUUCGGCUGAGGCACUGAUCUCAUGGUUCCUCAGCGGAUCCCCGGGGAGGCUGUGCUCCAAUUGCUCCAGUGUGUCCCCAGGGAUCCAUGACCUCUAGAGAACUGGAUCUAUAUCUUCCUUAUCUUCUUCAUGGCACUAGCUCAGUGCCUAACACAGCAGCCAAGAUGGUGUGUUCCAGACCGCGCUUGUUCCACUGGUGAGCUGCCAAAGACUCACUGUCCUGAAUGUGGCAAAGACCAUAGCUCUGAUAAUAUCCUGGGAACUAUUCCUACAUGCCCAACUAUGGCCCAAGCCUUCAGCCCUCAAGACAAUUUUGCAAAUACUUAACUCCCAGCAUUAAAUUCCUGUGCUUCAAAAUUGCUA